CCUACGGGAGGCAGCAGUGGGGAAUAUUGGACAAUGGGCGCAAGCCUGAUCCAGCCAUGCCGCGUGAGUGAUGAAGGCCCUAGGGUUGUAAAGCUCUUUCACCGGAAAAGAUAAUGACGGUAUCCGGAGAAGAAGCCCCGGCUAACUUCGUGCCAGCAGCCGCGGUAAUAC
rnacentral:rRNA from 1 species